GGCUGGGGUCAGCAGACUCCGGACGUACUUCCAUCUGUCAUCACGAAGACAAAGGAUGCUGUCGAGCAUGGGCUUCGAAAUCAGAUAACUCAAAGGCAUUGUGCAGUUGGAAGAAAGAGACUCUGGAUUAAACAUAAAUCACUCUUGAAGAAAGUACUCCAUCCUAAUCCCUGCUCCACUGUUCUUGUGUGACGCUAGGGAAGCCCUUUUCACUAAACCUUGGCUCAGCUGGUCACCAAAUCAUGAGAUGUUCUCAGAGCUGAAACAAGACUUCACUCCUUACCCACAAAUCCUGGCUGUUCACGCCAGGGCAAAGGCCUGGCAAUGCCCACUGAGCACCGUGGCCAACAGUGAGGGAGAACAGUGGGUCCCUCACAUCCAUCACCUGCCUCCCACCUGUGUAACAGCAGAGGCAAUUGCUGGUUACAACUGUAAACGCAGGUGUAGUCUCUCCCAAACUAGGCUCACUCUUUCAUUUACCAUUUCCAAAACUCCACAUCCAAAUUCUCAGAAGCCAGACACACCACCUCUCCCAAGUUUGAGAGGGUAACUGAAAUCAGUCCCUGCUGUCUGUUAAAACUGAGCAUUUUUCUUCACACGCAUUUUCCAUCAUUAAGCCUACUGACAGUCUAUUACAUUUUCUUUUUCCCUAAAAAAGCCCAUUUGAAUAAAGUUUGAUUUUAGAAUCUGCGACAUAGGAGGUCUCCUUAUGGUUAAGGAGGGAAAAAUUUCACUGAACUUAACUCCAAAAGCUUGUGUGGCUUGGCAAUUUCAUAGAAGUGUCCAGUAAAACUUGUAGCUUAAGUUAAAACCACCAUGCUUUGGUAGAAGAGGAGAACUCUCCAUGCGUUCUCUCUUUUACUAAGCUUUUAGGUUCUUCCUGGUUAUUAAGCGACCUCGGAAAGCGUUACAAGGGGGAAUUGGUUGCAGU